rnacentral:rRNA from 1 species
GAUGAACGCUGGCGGCGUGCUUAACACAUGCAAGUCGAACGGAAAGGCCCAAGCUUGCUUGGGUACUCGAGUGGCGAACGGGUGAGUAACACGUGGGUGAUCUGCCCUGCACUUCGGGAUAAGCCUGGGAAACUGGGUCUAAUACCGGAUAGGACGAUGGUUUGGAUGCCAUUGUGGAAAGUUUUUUCGGUGUGGGAUGAGCUCGCGGCCUAUCAGCUUGUUGGUGGGGUAAUGGCCUACCAAGGCGUCGACGGGUAGCCGGCCUGAGAGGGUGUACGGCCACAUUGGGACUGAGAGACGGCCCAGACUCCUACGGGAGGGAGCAGUGGGGAAUAUUGAACAAUGGGCGCAAGCCUGAUGCAGCGACGCCGCGUGGGGGAUGACGGCCUUCGGGUUGUAAACUCCUUUCGCUAGGGAAGAAGCGUUUUUGUGACGGUACCUGGAGAAGAAGCACCGGCUAACUACGUG